rnacentral:rRNA from 1 species
UACGAAGGGGGCUAGCGUUGCUCGGAAUCACUGGGCGUAAAGGGUGCGUAGGCGGCUUUUUAAGUCAGUGGUGAAAGCCAACAGCUCAACUGUUGAACUGCCAUUGAUACUGGAAGCUUGAGUACAGACGAGGUAAGCGGAAUUGACAGUGUAGCGGUGAAAUGCAUAGGAUAAUUGUCAAGAACUCCGAUUGCGAAGGACAGCUUACUAGACUGAUAACUGACGCUGAGGCACGAAAGCGUGGG